CAGUGAUAAACUGGAGGAAGGUGGGGAUGACGUCAAGUCAUCAUGGCCCUUACGACCAGGGCUACACACGUGCUACAAUGGCGCAUACAAAGAGAAGCGACCUCGCGAGAGCAAGCGGACCUCAUAAAGUGCGUCGUAGUCCGGAUUGGAGUCUGCAACUCGACUCCAUGAAGUCGGAAUCGCUAGUAAUCGUGGAUCAGAAUGCCACGGUGAAUACGUUCCCGGGCCUUGUACACACCGCCCGUCACACCAUGGGAGUGGGUUGCAAAAGAAGUAGGUAGCUUAACCUUCGGGAGGGCGCUUACCACUUUGUGAUUCAUGACUGGGGUGAAGUCGUAACAAGGUA
rnacentral:rRNA from 1 species